rnacentral:rRNA from 1 species
GCGCGCGCAGGUGGUUUCUUAAGUCUGAUGUGAAAGCCCACGGCUCAACCGGGGAGGGGCAUUGGAAACUGGGAAACUUGAGUGCAGAAGAGGAAGGUGGAAUUCCAUGUGUAGCGGUGAAAUGCGUAGAGAUAUGGAGGAACACCAGUGGCGAAGGCGACUUUCUGGUCUGUUACUGACACUGAGGCGCGAAAGCGUGGGGAGCAAACAGGAUUAGAUACCCUGGUAGUCCACGCCGUAAACGAUGACUGCUAACUGUUAGAGGGUUUCCGCCCUUUAUGGCUGAACUUAACGCAUUAAUCACUCCGCCGGGGGAGUACGGCCGCAAGGCUGAAACUCAAUGGAAUUGACGGGGGCCCGCACAAGCGGGGGAGCAUGUGGUUUAUUUCAAACCACCGCGAAAAACCUUACCAGGUCUUGACAUCCUAUGAAUUUCCUAAAAAGGAUGGUUCUCCUUCG